rnacentral:lncRNA from 1 species
GAGAACUCUCAGGGAAAUCAAGAAGAUGUUGAUGAACAUUCUUAUUUCUCUUCAGUAAUUCAGUAUUUGACAAAUGCCAAUAACCUGAAUUCAUCUUGAGACACUGGGGUUUUUUAAUGUCAUUUCUUUUGUUCCUCUCAUAUACACUGCACCCAACCCUCUCUUACUUUCCACCCUCAAAAAUUGUAAAAAACCUCAAAAAUCUAUUUCUCUCCAAGGCCCUCAAAGGUCAGACUUGGAGAACAAAGGGAAGACAAUGCCUGUCCUGGGGAUAUUACAAAUCAAGGAGCAGAUUUUGUCCUCCCCAUCUUGUACCAAGUUGUACUUUACUUUGUAAAGUUGAUAAAGUUUAUUUACUUGCUAAAAAAGACAAAGGAAGGUGAGCCAGGGUAGGAAAAGUCCAUCCCAAGGCAAGGAUGUGCUACACCAAGAGCCUGAGCUUGUUUAAAUACCAGAGCAAAACAUUAUUAUUUCAUUAAAAGCUUUAAAAAUUAAUUCAACUUCCAGAUAUUCCAAUCUGCUUGCACAAGUUUAUUCAAACACAUUUCCAGGUUUAAAAAAAAAAAAUCACAUUAUUUUUCUCAAUACUUGAAUGUUUCUAUUGUAUUUCUAAUAUAUUUUAAUGGGAAUUAAAUGUGCCCAGCCCUGAGGUGCUGAUUGCAAUGUUUGCAAGGCUCAGGCCAAAGCCACAAACCCAAAGAAUCUGGGCUUUGUUUAUUCCCUGCUCUCGGAGUUCAGUUGAAGCACGGCAAGGGAAGAGGUUUGGGAGGUUUCAUGGGAAGGAUGAGGUGCCAGGGAGAUUCCAGUGGGUGGGAUGUGAGCUGAUCACUCCAAAGCCAGAACCUCGGGGGGUUCCUCUGCUCCUGUCCAGCCCCGGCUCCCGGUGCUCCCCUCCCGGCUGGNGGCUCCGUGCCCGGGCUGCCAGCCCCCGGCAGCCGGGAGGACGCGGCCGGAGCAGAAAACAAAGAAUCCCGAAGUGGCAGCUGGCUGGGCCUUCCCUGGCCCUUGCUGAAGAAGACAAGGCAUUGGUGAGCUCAGAACCCGGGCUAAAGCUGCUCUGUGCUGGGCAUUGUGAGCCACACGCCGCUGUUCGUGCACCCCAGCGCUGCCUCCCCAUGCCCGCGGCAGCCGAGGGCAAAGCCGGCUCCUGGAUGACAGGACAGCCCUAA